rnacentral:rRNA from 1 species
GACGAACGCUAGCGGCGGGCUUAAUACAUGCAAGUUUAGGGGUUCAGCAAUGGACACCGGCGGACGGGUGCGUAACACGUAUGCAACCUGCCCUUUACUGGAGGAUACUCCGGAGAAAUUCGGCACAACACUCCAUAUACCCAUACUUUCGCAUGGGAGAAUGAGGGAAAAGGUUACGGUAAAAGGAUGGGCAUGCGUCUGAUUAGCUAGUUGGCGAGGUAACGGCUCACCAAGGCGACGAUCAGUAGCUGGUCUGAGAGGAUGAUCAGCCACACUGGCACUGAGAUACGGGCCAGACUCCUACGGGAGGCAGCAGUAGGGAAUAUGGUCAAUGGGCAAGCCUGACCAGCCACGCCGCGUGCAGGAAGAAGGU